CGAGACCGCGGACCGNUCAUUAAAUCAGUCGUUGUCCAAAUGGGCCAGUACUAAUUACUUGGAUAACUGUGGUAAUUCCAGAGCUAAUACAUGCAACUUAUACCCUGAUGCUUCGUUCGCGCGUUGCUGACGGGUGCUUUUAUUAGACCAAACCGCUGGGGCUCUCUUAACGGAGAGCCUGAUUUGCUAUGUGGUGACUCUGGAUAACCUUUUGAUGACAAGCGCACGUACCUCUCGUAGGACGGCGCUGCCACUUUCGAGUGUCUGCCUUAUCAGCUGUCAACCGCUCGCUAUACGCGACCGAUGGCUUUGACGGGUAACGGGGAAUCAGGGUUCGAUUCCGGAGAGGCAGCCUGAGAGACGGCUACCACGUCCAAGGACGGCAGCAGGCACGCAAAUUACCCAAUCCCAGCACAUUCUGGGGGAGGUAGUGACGAAACAUAACGAAGCGUGCGCCCUUCACGGGUCUCGCUAUCGGAAUGAGCACUUUUCUAAACACCCUGUUGAGAACCUACUGAAGGGCAAGUCUGGUGCCAGCAGCCGCGGUAAUUCCAGCUUCAGUAGCAUAUAUUAAAGUUGCUGCGGUUAAAAGGCUCGUAGUUGAAUGUCUGUUCCGAGCAGCGGCAGGUGGACGUUGGGGUUGUUGUUGGCUCCUUCGCGGUGUCCAGCACACGCUCCCGUCAGUUACAUCCUCCGCUCUCCGCGUACAAAAGGGCGUNCGACCGAGAG
rnacentral:rRNA from 1 species